rnacentral:rRNA from 1 species
UACGAAGGGGGCUAGCGUUGCUCGGAUUGACUGGGCGUAAAGGGCGCGUAGGCGGUUCGUACAGUCAGACGUGAAAUUCCUGGGCUCAACCUGGGGGCUGCGUUUGAUACUGGAUGGCUUGAAUUCGGGAGAGGGAUGCAGAAUUCCUGGUGUAGCGGUGAAAUGCGCAGAUAUCAGGAGGAACACCGGUGGCGAAGGCGGGUCUCUGGGCCGAUACUGACGCUGAGGAGCGAAAGCGUGGGGAGCAAACAGG